UGGAAUAAAAUGCCCUAGCUUGCAGUCUGCUCAUCUAUAUUACCUGCACCUACAUUGACAUAAGUCAAUAUAGGUUCCACAAAGAGAACGUCAGUACACCACUAGCGGUACUCAGUGAGUCUCAACAUUCCCCAUUACUAAAAUUAGAACGAGACCUUGUAUAAAACAUAUAUGUGAUAAGGGAAUGAAAGAAAGCAAGUCAUCAUGCCUUAUGGAGCAUAUUACAGAGUAAAGCAAGAGAACAAUCACCAAAACUUAUAGCUUAGUUAAUUAGUUCAUUCUUUUCGCUUUAUUUAAAAUUGAUUCAGUCAAUUGAACAUUUUUUUUAGUUAUGUCCACUGGUAAUUAGUAACCCUUUAUAUGUUUACUCGUGGCCCUUUAUAAGACCACUAAAUUUGUGCCUCAUUGUGACAAUCAUGGCAACCCUUUGUACGGAUGCUUGUGAUACUUUAUACAGUCACCAUUCAGGUAUGUCGAAUCAUAGCAAGUCAGUAACUCUUUAUACGGCUACUGGUAACCCUUUGUAUGGUUACUAAGUUAUUUAAGUUCGCUGUAAAGUUCCAACAAGUUGCUUUACCCUGAUCAUGUUCUAAGGGAGUACUUUAUGGUUAUUACUAGCAUGAAAGAGAAUCACACAAAGUUUUGGAUGGAAGAUGUUUUCUCUGCUCGAUCAUGUUUCUAGCGAACAGUCACUGUUUUGGGACAUUAAACUUAAGAAUAUCAUUGUUUUUGGUUUGUCAACUAUGAAAGUUAAUUUUCAUGACAUAUGUUACUGCAACGUAGUAAUAACCACGUUAAUUUGAUAAAUCCAAAGAGAAAACAGUAAGCACAAGGUAACUAACUCAACAAAGGCAAUGUGAAACUCGUUCCAAAACUCACAUUAGCAUUUUAAAAGCAUUUUGUCAAACACCUUACAGACAUGACUUUGUAAGAAAAGACUUUAGUAAAAGCAAGUCUUAACUCACCUCAAGAAUCUUCACUGUUAACAAGGGUAACUUCUACCUUUACCAAUAACAAUCAACAACUCAAUUCUUUGUUCACAAGAGCCAAGAGCAGCAGAAGUUACCAAGGGCAAAACUAACCCCUGUAACCUUCCUCCUUUUUUUUCUGUUAGUGGUCACACGUUUUAUGCAGCAAAGUUGUAGGAUUGGCCCAUGUAUAUAACUUUUCCUCAAAUAAAUAAUUCGGGUUAUUUUACUUACCAACUAAACACAUGCAACAAUAAUAACUAAAUCUCCCACUUUUAAGUUAG
rnacentral:lncRNA from 1 species